rnacentral:tRNA from 1 species
UUUAAUAUAUUAAUAUCGAUUUAUUUCCGUUAUAUACAAAUUUAUAAAACUUUAAUUAUUUAAA